GACGAACGCUGGCGGCGUGCCUAAUACAUGCAAGUCGAACGAAGCUUUUUUAACUGGUGCUUGCACCGACUUAAACAACUGAGUGGCGAACGGGUGAGUAACACGUGGGUAACCUGCCCCAAAGCGGGGGAUAACAUUUGGAAACAGAUGCUAGUACCGCAUAACCACAGAAACCACAUGGUUUCUGUGUCAAAGAUGGUUUCGGCUAUCACUAUGGGAUGGACCCGCGGCGUAUUAGCUAGUUGGUAAGGUAAUGGCUUACCAAGGCAAUGAUACGUAGCCGAACUGAGAGGUUGAUCAGCCACAUUGGGACUGAGACACGGCCCAAACUCCUACGGGAGGCAGCAGUAGGGAAUCUUCCACAAUGGACGAAAGUCUGAUGGAGCAACGCCGCGUGAGUGAAGAAGGUUUUCGGAUCGUAAAACUCUGUUGUCAGAGAAGAACGUGUGCGAGAGUAACUGUUCGUGCAGUGACGGUAUCUGGCCAGAAAGCCACGGCUAACUACGUGCCAGCCGCCGCUGUAA
rnacentral:rRNA from 1 species